AACACGUGGGUAACCUGCCUUAUAGUGGGGGAGUAGCCUUUCGAAAGGAAGAUUAAUACCGCAUAAGAUUGUAGUAUCGCAUGAUAUAGCGAUUAAAGGAGCAAUUCGCUAUAAGAUGGACCCGCGUCGCAUUAGCUAGUUGGUGAGGUAAUGGCUCACCAAGGCGACGAUGCGUAGCCGACCUGAGAGGGUGAUCGGCCACAUUGGGACUGAGACACGGCCCAGACUCCUACGGGAGGCAGCAUG
rnacentral:rRNA from 1 species